GGUCUUUCAGGCAGUGCAGGUCAGCCUGGAGCCUGGAGAUCCCUGUGUAGAACAGAGACUCCCUCUCAGAAGCCACAGAGACGUUUGUGAAGCAGCUCAGUAGCUUUCUUACAGCGUCUUUGAAAGUGACUGGGGCCUUCUGAUCCACAUGAACACAGUAGAUGUUUUGGGGAGUGUAGAUGGCCCUCAAGAGUCUUUCAAAUGUAUCAGUCUUUGCGGAUGACCAUGACAUAGGCCAAAGGGAACUCGGCUUCGUCUUUGGACACAGGUUCCAUUAUGCAGUGAUUUCGGAUCAAGUAUCGCUGGCAGGUUAUUAUUUCUCAAUGGCGUCACUGGUAUAUUUUCAUCCAAGAACAUUUUCUUGCCUGUCACAAUCAUGCCACACACUUCUGCAAGGACUGAAGAGUUUGAGAUCUUCCCCCAUGGAAGAUAUUUUUGCGGGACCUAAUAGUUACUAUACAGGAAUAAAAGAGUUAUGGACGUGGCCAUAAGCCCUAGGACCAACCCAAAUGCCUCUACCUUUAUUUUUCCUAUGGUCUUUUCUGGAUUCAUCAUUCACCUGAUUUUAUGCCAUUGCUGAAGUCAGUCUGCAGGUCCCUGCCCAGACUUGAGAAAUGUGCUCUAGCAACUUAUUUGCAGCAAGAAGUGCAAUAUGACCAUUUACUUAAAAGAAGGAGGAUCAACCACAAGUCGGUAGCUCUUCUAUUUAAAAAAUCAGGUGACUCUUUGAACAUGAGCCAGUGGGGCCAGCUGACCACUUCACAAAAGCCAGGCACAGUUGGGCACCUCUGUCUAGGUCAACCACAAAUUAAGACCCUAGCAAAUCGGCCACAGCUGCCAGCUCAGGGUGUUUUUCCCAUGUGGAGUACAGGUGGAAUGUGUGUUCAUUUGGCACCUCUUUUUCCCAUGCAGAGCCACCAUCACCAUCACUGAUGUCACCUUUGAAUGCAAGGGACACUAUAUUUCUUCAACUUCAGGCAAUCACAGUUGUCCUGAAGUAGGUCACCAUUUACGUGGACAGCACCCAGAACUCCUCGAUAGUGGGGUCUCUUUACUUAAAAAUAAAGAUCAAGAAUUUAUAGUAUUUCAGGAUUGAAAGGAAUCUUGCAGAUUAUUCUCACCAAUUGAUUCAGUUACAAAUAAAGAACACUGACAAUGACCCAUAACGACUAUUCUAUCACAUUUUGUCUCCAUUUUCUCACUGAUGGCCUGAGAGGGCCUAUGGCUGCUUUCACGUUACAAUGGCAGGGCUAAGUUGUUGCCACAUCUGACCACCGAAGCUUAAAAUGUUUUCCAUCUGGCCUUUACCAGAGAAGGUUUGCUGACCCUCUCCUCUGUAUCUACGGAUGUCCCUUGUAUACCACUGUGCUUGCACUACAUCAAGACAGCGAUUGUGGACUUGAUACCAUUUUACAACUUUUUGCUUUAUUUUCAAGAUUUCCUCGUGAAUGCCAGAAUGACACGAUAUUUGGUAG
rnacentral:lncRNA from 10 species